rnacentral:rRNA from 1 species
CCUCGAAUUCGUAUGAUUACCUGCUGAAUUUAAGCAUAUUAAUAGGCAGAGGAAUAGAAACUAACCAGGAUUCCCUCAGUAGCGGCGAGUGAACAGGGAAGAGCCCAUGCCUGAAUCUGGCAGAUGGCAGUUUCGGCUGUCGUGUGUGUCUGCCCGAAUUGUAGUGUGGAAGGUGUCGUCCUUGAGACUGUGUGGUCGCUUUAACAUUGUGGUUGAUUCCAUCGUUCCUUUGGGAAACCAAAGAUGGUGAAAGUCCAGUCCAGAAGCGGCCAUCACGACCUCUAAUGGAAGGCAUCGUUGCGAGUAGGAUUGCUUGAGAUUGCAGUCUGAAUACGGGAGAUAAAUUUCUUCCAAGGCUAAAUAUAGAAUGGGAGACCGAUAGCGCACAAGUACCGCGAGGGAAAGGUGAAAAGUGCUUUGAUAAAAGGGUAAAAUAGAACUUGAAAUUGUAAAGGUUCCAAGCGCGAUCAGUCGCUACAGUGGAUCGGAUGGUUAGCUGGCUUUCUCGGAAGCCAGUCCGCGCCAUUACGGUUCAAGAGUCCGCGUCGUGUUGGAUGUGCACCAGUGAGCUUUUGCUUGGUUCUGCGUCUGGCACGAGGAACUUAAAGGCCACUUUUAGUCCGGGUCGGGUAAGCUUCGACAGCGGCUUCGGCUGCUUCGAGGAUUGUUCCGAUCGCUUUGGACUUGUGGUCUUGUGGACGUGGAUGUGAAGCGACUGAGACCGACCCGUCUUGAAACACGGACCGAGGAGUCUGGGAUGUGUGCGAGCGGAAGUAAUGGUAAUUACGUACGCUCAAUGAAAGUGAAGUGUACAAGCUUUGUCCAGUACACUCCGACCUAGUAUCUGCUCGGGCUUACCCGAGCAGAGUUGGAUUGAGUGAGAGUAUACAUACUAGGACCCGAAAGAUGAUGAUCUAUACGUGAGUUGGCUGAAGUCAGGGGAAACUCUGAUGGAAGGUCUCCGAACAGUGCUGACGUGCAAAUCGCUUGUCACAUUUGUGUAUAGCGGCGAAAGACCCAUCGAAUCAUCUAGUAGCUGGUUCCCUCCGAAGUUUCCCUCAGGAUAGCUGGAGUCGUUGGUAGUCUUGUGAGGUAAAGCGAAUGAUUAGAAGUCUUGGAACUUUAUCGGUUUCAACUUAUUCUCAAACUUUAAAUAGGCAAUGGGAUUGUUGUUUGAUUAAACAGUCUGCUGGAUACAGACUCUUAGUGGGCCGUGUUUUGGUAAGCAGAACAGGCGAUGUGGGAUGAACCGUUAGUCGAAGGGAAAGGUGUCUAAUUGUACGCUAAUUCCGAUACCAUAAAAGGUGUUGGUCCAUUAAGACAGUUGUCCGGUGGCCAUGGAAGUCGGCAUCCGCUAAGAAGUGUGUAACAACUUAACAACCGAAUGGACUAGCCCUGAAAAUGGAUGGCGCUGAAGCGUACAAACCUCUCCCUUACCAUUGUGUCCAGGUUGGUGCUAUAAGGACCAAUGUGUAGGAGGGCGUGUCGGUUGUUACAAAGCUCUUUUAGUGUGUGAAUGAGAGUGAAACGGCCGAUAGUGCAGAUCUCGGUAGUAGUAGCAGCUAUUCACACGAGUUACUGGUCUUUCUCGCAUCGAGGACCAAACACCUCGGUGCGAGACGGUGAAGCUCUGAAGGUCGUCGUGGAGAAGGUUUCCUUGCGAGUGGCGCUCAUGCAAGGGUCAGUCGGUCCUAAGUGUUCGGGGAAACCCAGUAAAUGUACUUUCAUUAUGAAGGACACGAAAGGGAAUCAGGUUAAUAUUCCUGAACUUGGGGUCGCGGGAAGGUUGUCUGGUUCUUCGGAAUCAGGCUAUGGUUAAAUGCUGUAAAGCUGUGUUGCAGUCGGAACAGCGUCUAGGAGAGCCCGGAAGAGUUUUCUUUUCUCUCUAACAGCCUUUAGAACUGAGCGACCUUCUGGUAAGCCAGUUCUUUGGCGGCCCUGGAAUUUAAUCAAUUAGUGAAAGGGUUGCUUUAAGGUUGGAAAGGCAGGAUGGUUUCUGUCCUGUGAGGUUUGUUCAUAGAUGCACUAAAAGAUCCGAUCGCGCGCCCAACUGUGUCGUUUGACACGGCUUUUCCCACGAUCCAAGCCGUACCAGAAACCGCAACAGGUCUCCAAGGUUAUCAGCCUCUGGCCAAUUAGAACAAUGUGAGUAAAGGAAGUCGGCAAAAUGGAUUUGUACCUUUGGUAGAAAGGUUGGCUCUUGGGAUGGAGCGAUUCGGCUGGUGUCGGAAACAGUCUGUAUGGUGGCUGAGGGGUGCCAGACCGAUUAGUAUUGAGUUUUACUCGAGAACAUUGGAAAGGUUCUUCCUCAGCUUACCUGGGCUAUGUACGGGACUAUGCAGAACUGUUCUUGUGAGCUAGAACUGUUCGUACGGGUCGCACUAAACCAUCAACUGGGAACCUACGGAUCCGGAGGAAUCCGACUGUUUAAUUAAAACAAAGCAAAGAGAAUGGCUGCACACAGGUUUAGCCUCUUUGUGAUUUCUGCCCAGUGCUCUGAAUGUCAAAGUGAAGAGAUUCAACCAAGCGCGGGUUAACGGCGGGAGUAACUAUGACUCUCUUAAGGUAGCCAAAUGCCUCGUCAUUUAAUUUGUGACGCGCAUGAAUGGAUCAACGAGAUUCCUACUGUCUCUACUUACUAUCUAGCGAACUUACAGCCAAGGGAACGGGCUUGGGAGUGACAGCGGGGAAAGAAGACCCUGUUGAGCUUGACUCUAGUUUGAUUAGUGUAAUAACGCUAAGGAUGUAGAAUAGGUGGGAGGUUCUGCCGAUAGUGAAAUACCACUACCUUUGUUGUUGUUUCACUCACUUGGAUUAAGAGUGAUGCGUGGUCUGUGUCUUCGGACGCAGACCAAGCACUUCUAGUGUAACACUUUGUAAACUCCUUUAUCCACCAGGGAAACAGUCAGAGUGGGAGUUUGGCUGGGGCGGCACACUUGUUAAAAGAUAACGCAGGUGUACAAUGACCAGCACAUUUAGGUCAGAAACCUAAAGUAGAGGAGCAGGCCAAAAGCUGGUUUGACUCAUAUUUUCAGUACAAAUAUUAGCCGUGAAAGCGUGUCCUAGUGAUCCUUUAGUGAAUAGAACCGUGUGGCUUGCCACACGGUGCGGUCUUUCGAAAUUUGAAGCUAGAGGUGUCAGAAAAGUUACCACAGGGAUAACUGGCUUGUGGCGGCCAAGCGUUCAUAGCGACGUCGCUUUUUGAUCCUUCGAUGUCGGCUCUUCCUAUCAUUGUGAAGCAGAAUUCACAAAGUGUCGGAUUGUUCACCCGCUAACAGGGAACGUGAGCUGGGUUUAGACCGUCGUGAGACAGGUUAGUUUUACCCUA